GUGGCUCGGUCCUUCGAGGGAUCCAAGACCUAACUACAUCAACAAAAUCAGAUCUUUUCUUAUCGGGGGUGUCCAUGGACUGUGAUUAAACCCAAGCCCUCUCAUUAUGAGUCCCUCAUUGACCAGCCUUGUUAACAUUCCAUCUAAUAUAUGAUGCCGGAAAGAAGCAUAUCCUGAUAAACAAAUAAAUACUCUUCAUAAAUUAAAAAACCAAGAAAAGUGCAAAAACAACACAUCUUUGCUCUAGUAAUCACCAUUUUUCCUUUAAAAGUAUAACUAUUUGAUAGACAACAAUAUUAAUUAUAUACUACUAAAGAAAUUGAGAUAGAAAUUCACUGAGUCUCAACUGCUGAAAAAUCAACACCUUCAUAAACCAUAACUAAUGAAAAAUACACUAGCAAGGAGUUAAAAUUUAAUGUUGAUCAAACUUAAAUAGUAAACAUACAAAGUAGUAUUAUUACUGCAAUCUUGCCCUCAAACAUGAAUCACUGAAAACAUUGGAAAGCCAAUAGCAACUAACAGAUAAUACAUAGUUAACAAAUGAAAUUGUUCAGACUAACUUCCAGAAAAAAGGCAGAGACAACCAUUGGCCACCGCCAUGGAAAGCAAAACCCCAUCAUCUCAGUUCAUAGGAUCUUAUUCAGCUCAGUUCGAUGCCUCAGUUCGCGCAUACACAGCAAGAAAAUUCAAUCAAAAACAACGACCCAGAUGCAAAAACACCAACCCCUCAAGCAGACAAGCGCAGAAUCAGUACAACCCUAAGCUGCUUCACAAAAUUUCUCCACUCUG
rnacentral:lncRNA from 1 species